rnacentral:rRNA from 1 species
UACGUAGGGGGCAAGCGUUGUCCGGAUUUAUUGGGCGUAAAGAGCGUGUAGGCGGCCAGGUAGGUCUGCUGUGAAAACUCGAGGCUCAACCUCGAGACGUCGGCGGAAACCAUCUGGCUAGAGUCCGGAAGAGGAGAGUGGAAUUCCUGGUGUAGCGGUGAAAUGCGCAGAUAUCAGGAAGAACACCCGUGGCGAAGGCGGCUCUCUGGGCCUUACCUGACGCUCAGGUGCGAAAGCUAGGGGAGCGAACAGG